rnacentral:rRNA from 1 species
UAGGGAAUCUUCCACAAUGGACGCAAGUCUGAUGGAGCAACGCCGCGUGAGUGAAGAAGGUUUUCGGAUCGUAAAGCUCUGUUGUUGGUGAAGAAGGAUAGAGGCAGUAACUGGUCUUUAUUUGACGGUAAUCAACCAGAAAGUCACGGCUAACUACGUGCCAGCAGCCGCGGUAAUACGUAGGUGGCAAGCGUUGUCCGGGUUUAUUGGGCGUAAAGCGAGCGCAGGCGGAAUGAUAAGUCUGAUGUGAAAGCCCACGGCUCAACCGUGGAACUGCAUCGGAAACUGUCAUUCUUGAGUGCAGAAGAGGAGAGUGGAAUUCCAUGUGUAGCGGUGGAAUGCGUAGAUAUAUGGAAGAACACCAGUGGCGAAGGCGGCUCUCUGGUCUGCAACUGACGCUGAGGCUCGAAAGCAUGGGUAGCGAACAGG